rnacentral:rRNA from 1 species
AUUGAACGCUGGCGGCAGGCUUAACACAUGCAAGUCGAGCGGAGAUGAGGUGCUUGCACCUUAUCUUAGCGGCGGACGGGUGAGUAAUGCUUAGGAAUCUGCCUAUUAGUGGGGGACAACAUUCCGAAAGGAAUGCUAAUACCGCAUACGCCCUACGGGGGAAAGCAGGGGAUCUUCGGACCUUGCGCUAAUAGAUGAGCCUAAGUCGGAUUAGCUAGUUGGUGGGGUAAAGGCCUACCAAGGCGACGAUCUGUAGCGGGUCUGAGGGGAUGAUCCGCCACACUGGGACUGAGACACGGCCCAGACUCCUCCGGGAGGCAGCAGUGGGGAAUAUUGGACAAUGGGCGGAAGCCUGAUCCAGCCAUGCCGCGUGUGUGAAGAAGGCCUUUUGGUUGUAAAGCACUUUAAGCGAGGAGGAGGCUACCUGGAUUAAUACUCUAGGAUAGUGGACGUUACUCGCAGAAUAAGCACCGGCUAACUCUGUGCCAGCAGCCGCCGUAACAC